rnacentral:rRNA from 1 species
UACGAAGGUCCCAAGCGUUAUCCGGAUUUAUUGGGUUUAAAGGGUGCGUAGGCGGAUUAUUAAGUCAGUGGUGAAAGCCCCAGGCCCAACCUGGGAAUUGCCAUUGAUACUGAUGAUCUUGAGUACAGUUGAGGUAGGCGGAAUGUGUCAUGUAGCGGUGAAAUGCUUAGAUAUGACACAGAACACCAAUUGCGUAGGCAGCUUACUAAACUGUAACUGACGCUGAGGCACGAAAGCGUGGGGAGCAAACAGG